rnacentral:tRNA from 1 species
GUUAAUGUAGCUUAAAGCCUAAAGCAAGGCACUGAAAAUGCCUAGAUGAGUGCACUAACUCCAUAAACA